rnacentral:rRNA from 1 species
UACGUAGGGGGGCAAGCGUUGUCCGGAUUUUAUUGGGCGUAAAGAGCGUGUAGGCGGCCAGGUAGGUCUGCUGUGAAAACUCGAGGCUCAACCUCGAGACGUCGGCGGAAACCAUCUGGCUAGAGUCCGGAAGAGGAGAGUGGAAUUCCGGGGUGUAGCGGUGGAAUGCGUAGAGAUCCGGAAGAACACCGGUGGCGAAGGCGGCCCGCUGGGGAUCUGGCUGACGCUGAGGCGC